AACGCACAUUGCGCCUCCCUUAGGGGGGGCAUGCCUGUCUGAGCGUCAUUUAAACCAAAUGGACCCAAUUGGGUUCGUGUUGGGCUUCGCCUCUGAUCGAAGGGGCGUCGCCUUGAGGCCAUCGGUCUAACGAGCGGACGGGUUCCUCUAGGACGGACCGCUCUGUGACCUACAUUAAUCUCUGAUUUGACCUCAGAUCAGGUAGGGACACCGCCUGAACUUAA
rnacentral:misc_RNA from 1 species